rnacentral:tRNA from 1 species
AGUGUGUGUAAUUUAAAAAAAAUAUCAAGCUGUGACCCUGACAUUAGGAGCAACCUCAUACA